GUGUUGACGGGUAACGGGGAAUCAGGGUUCGAUACCGGAGAGGGAGCCUUAGAAACGGCUACCACAUCUAAGGAAGGCAGCAGGCGCGCAAAUUACCCACUCUCAGAAUGAGGAGGUAGUGACCAUAAAUAACAAUACAGGACUCAAAUGAGGCUCUGUAAUUGGAAUGAGUACAAUCUAAAUCCUUUAACGAGUACCAAUUGGAGGGCAAGUCUGGUGCCAGCAGCCGCGGUAAUUCCAGCUCCAAUAGCGUAUAUUAAAUUUGUUGCAGUUAAAAAGCUCGUAGUUGGGUCUCAGGUGAGGUGUGUCGGUGUGUUCAAUGAGCAUCACCGUUCAUGUCUGCCUUUCUCAGUCGUUUGUCCUCUCAUGGUUCUCUUAACUGAGUGCUAUAAGAGGCUCGACACGUUUACCUUGAAAAAAUCAGAGUGCUCAAAGCAGGCCUUUGCGCUUGUAUGUUGUUGCAUGGAAUAAUGGAAUAGGACUUCGGUUCUAUUUUGUUGGUUUUCGGUGCCGAAGUAAUGAACAAUAGAGACAGACGGGGGCAUUUCUAUGGCUGUGAUAGAGGUGAAAUUCUGAGACCGCAGCCAGAGAAACUACUGCGAAAGCAUUUGCCAAGCAUGUCUUCAUUAAUCAAGAACGAAAGUCAGAGGUUCGAAGACGAUCAGAUACCGUCCUAGUUCUGACCUUAAACGAUGCCGUCCGAUAAUCAGGAGUGGUUAUAUUUUAUUAAUCCUCCUGGCUGUCCCUGGGAAACCUUAGAUAGGUUCUGGGGGGAAUAUGGUCGCAAGGUUGGAACUUAAAGGAAUUGACGGAAGGGCACCACCAGGAGUGGAGCCUGCGGCUUAAUUUGACACAACACGGGGAAACUCACCCGGUCCGGACACUGUGAGGAUUGACAGAUUGAUAGCUCUUUCUUGAUUCAGUGGGUGGUGGCGCAUGGCCGUUCUUAGUUGGUGGAGUGAUUUGUCUGGUUAAUUCCGAUAACGAACGAGACUCUAUCCUGCUAAAUAGUUUGGUGGCAUCGGUCGCUUCGGUGACUAAAGCUGCUAAAACUUCUUAGAGGGAUUCGCGGUAUUUAAACCGCACGAAAGAGAGCAAUAACAGGUCUGUGAUGCCCUUAGAUGUCCGGGGCCGCACGCGCGCUACAUUGACAGUAUCAGAAAGUAAUACCACCUAGCUAGAGAUAGUUGGGAAAUCUUUGAAUUACUGUCUCCACAGGGAUUGAGGUUUGUAACUAUCCCUCAUGAACGAGGAAUUCCCAGUAGGCGUAGUCAUCAGCUUACGUCGAUUACGUCCCUGCCCUUUGUACACACCGCCCGUCGCUACUACCGAUUGAGUGGAUUAGUGAGGCCCUCAGAUUGAGGCUUUGAUGGCGAAAGUCACUAAGGUCUCGAAAAGUGGGUCAAACUUGUUCAUUUAGAGGAAGUAAAAGUCGUAACAAGGUU
rnacentral:rRNA from 1 species